rnacentral:lncRNA from 10 species
AUGAAUUCCUAAAUGACUUUCUGAGAUGCUCAGGGGCCUGCAUGCCUCUGUGGCACACUGGGCCUCAGGCUUCCCAAGAAUACUCAUUUGUUUCAUUUGUCUCUGUGAAGUUAAGACCUAGCAUUUUUUAACUCCAAGUAUAUGGGCUUUUAUAAGAUGUAAAGCGACAUGGAUACACGCUCACUGUAACAACAAAUAACUUUGUUGACUCUUCUACUCCCACUACCCUGUGAGGAGGCCCAACUUUCCUGGACAACAUAAAGGAGCAGGGAAAACAAUCUCAGCUUCUGUAAUUGCUCCUAUCCCUGGUUAUGAAAGACAUCUACCCCCUUUUCCUAGGCCAGAGUCCCUUGAGAAAGGGAUUUGGCCAAGGAGAACAGGUGACGCAAUGUGAUGAUGCCACUAUAUGAUUAAUGGCACACAUCAUUUUUGGCCAGAGUUUGUAGAAACAAACAAUAGAUCUAUAUUAGUCC